UGAGCCCAGGAGGUUGAGGCUGCAGUGAGCUGUGAUUGCACCACUGCACUCCAGCCUAGGUGACAGAGCAAGAUGGUGUCUGAAAAAGAAGGAUCAAAUUCAUUAAAGACAUCUCUUUGUGAGAUUAUUUCCCCCUUACCAUUAUAUUAAUUCUCUCCUGUUGCUGUUGCUUCAUGUUAUACUGAAAAUCCCAAGGGAGGACAUUGGGAUUUUUGUCUUGAUGGUCAGUUCGUAAUGAGUUAAAUAGGAAUCACAACAAAAUGUUUUCGGCAUUCUACUUCUCAUAGAAGUUAAAUCCUCUAUGCUGAGUUCUUAAAACUAACUUCUUCCACCCUGAGCUCUCUGUCUAGGCCUCAUUUCUGCAGUUAGCUGUGAACCUUGCCAGUCUGUGGUGGCUUCCUUUGUUGUGGAGCCAUCUUCUAAAAAUUCCAUGAGGUAGAAUUCACCAUUGGCUUAAGGCUUUUCAAAGGAAGGCAGACUCUUGCCAUGGAAAGAACAUGUUUGUCAGGCUUGGGUUAAAAUCUUUUGAUCUGAGAGCUAAAGGGUGAGUAAGAACUAGCUAAGAAAAGGGGGAGGAGAAAGGAACAGAAGGUCUGAGGCAAGGGGAAUUUGGCAAUUUUGAGGAACCAAAAGAAAGUUGUGUGACUGGAGCCCUAGGGUGAAGUAGAUCGUGGUGAAAAGUGAAGCUCUGGGGGAAGACCGGGUAUGAUUGGUAGAGGUGUUCUCUUUAACCUCAUGGCACGGGGAAGCCUUGAACAAGGAUUUAAAUGGGGAGACGGAGUUUCUGUCACCCAUUGGCAGCUGUUUUGGACCUGCUGACUACAGAUCAUAGACUGUUACCAUGUCCUUGAAGACACUGUACAUCUUUUUGGGAGGUGGGGUAUAUCCUAUUGUCUGGUUUGUGUUUGGGGAAUCUGAGGCAGUGCUUUUUGAGGUGAGAGUGGAGCAAAAAGCCUCUUUUUUGUUCUCGCUUGUCAGCCAGCCUUGAAACUGGCCAAGGAAUUGCCUUCAGACGUUAGUCACCUUCCAGACACUUCCUCUCCCAUCAGUCACUUCCUCUCAGAUGACAGGGAUGUGCACUCAGAUGCCCAGCCUGACUCACCAGGCCAUUCAGAGGAGAAAACGAUAGGGUAAUUUUAUUCUUUUAUUUUCGAGAGAGUAAUUUUAAAUGAGGCAGAUGCCAGGUGUCAUUUAAGACGUGUUGAUUGUAAUUGUUGGAGGUUAGGGGACUAAGAGGUAAACAACAUGGACGUAUUUUUGUUACAAUGAGAUUACUGUUGUUGUACUACCUUCUCACUACCUGACUAAUUACCAGGUUAGAAGAGGGAAUCUGGUUGGAAUGAAUAUCGAGCACUGAGGUCUAGCCCAGGAGACAAUCCUUGUAGGUAUGGAGGGGACUAGGGAUGGUGUCAUUUUACAUUCAGCCUUCUCAUCCUGGGGUACUUUGCUCUGCAUGGUUUGCAGUAGAGAGAUUGUCUUCUCCCUCGAAGAAUGAGGCCAUGAUUUUACUAUCUUGAAGACCUCUAUCCAGAGAAAUCAAAUGACAGCCUAGGCUCCACCUAGCUGGGCAUAGAAUCCAAGUGUUCUAAUUCUCAGAGAUUCUUAUUUUCUUAUUUUCUUUUCUUUUUUUUUUUGAGUCAGAGUCUCUGUCGCCUAGGCUGGAGUGCAGUGGUGUGAUCUUGGCUCACUGCAACCUCCGCCUCCCGGGUUUAAGCGAUUCUCCUACCUCAGCCUCCCAAGUAGCUGGGAUUACAGGUGCGUGCCACCACGCCCAGCUAAUUUUUGUAUUCUUUCUAGAGGCGGGGUUUCACCAUGUUGGUCAGGCUGGUCUCCAACUCCUGACCAGGUAAUCCGCCUGCCUCGGCCUCCCAAAGUGCUGGGAUUACAGGUAUGAACCACUGUGCCCAGCUGAGAUUUUUAUUUUCAUUAAUGGGGUUCAUACAAAAUGGAAACUUGAUUUCCAGGACUACUAGGCCAUGUGUUAGAAGGAACACUGACAGGGAAUCAGAAGACUUGAGUGUUAGUCCUGGCCAUGCAGUUCCUUCUCUCUGAUGUAGGACAAGUAAUCUCUCAUCUAUGAGCCUUGAUUUCUGCGUGUUUAGAAUCAGGAAUGUGGCUUAGAUGACCUCUUGGAUUCUUUUUGGCUUUAAGAUUCCAGAGUUUUGUGAUUAGGGAGGUGAUUGACAUCAGUGAGAUGUAGGGGGGUACAGAUGGGAAAACUACAACUUUUGAAGAGUUAAUCUUUUGUGUAUACAUUGGAACUUUCCUCUUAAUUAUCCUAACAGAACAGUGAUCUAGGGAGUAUUAGCUCCAGGUGAGGGAACAGGCUGAGAGAGAGAAAGUGAGGUGCUCAAGGAUUCCCCACUAGUGUGUGGCAGAGCUGGUAUUCAGCUCCUUUUUCUCCUAUUCCAGUACCACAGCUCUUUUUCCUAGACUCUUGCAGUCGUUGUUAUGGCGAAAACAAAAACAGUUAACAUUUGAAAUUUUUUAAAAUUUAAAAACAAAAGUUUUUCCUUUAGCAGUGGACUUGAAACCUGACGGACUGCUUCAGAUCUUUUUAUCAGUUAUAUGGAUUGGGCAAGUUACUGCAUCUUGUUAGCCUUAACUUCCUUACAUGUAAAAAAAAAAAAAAAAAA
rnacentral:lncRNA from 1 species